UCGGAUUCUAGUAUUUUCUGCAAUUCCUCAAGCAUCUGAUGAUGUUCAACUUUGAGAAGAACAAGCUGAGCUUCGAAACCAACUCAGUCUAUAAAUUGGUCGGAACAUCUAAAAGACAAAAUCAACCCCAACCUAGCUCAGAUGUGAUUCUUGAGGAAGGUGAUGACAAGCUGGUUCACUUGAUCAGGGAACUGCUCCUGAACAAAAUGGCUUUCUUCAGGAACCUCAAUUUUUGGAUCGGCAAUGCCUGUUCCCCUAUACAAUGUCCUACCAGAAGCAGAGUGGUAUUGUCAGCACAAUUUUAAAGGAUUUCAUUCAUUCAUUCAUAUGCUAACUUUGGCAGUUC